GUUUGAUCCUGGCUCAGGACGAACGCUGGCGGCGUGCUUAACACAUGCAAGUCGAGCGGAAAGGCCCUUUCGGGGGUACUCGAGCGGCGAACGGGUGAGUAACACGUGAGUAAUCUGCCCUUCACUUUGGGAUAGCUCCCGGAAACGGGGAUUAAUACCGGAUAUGACUGCGGUCCGCAUGGGCUGUGGUGGAAAGUUUUUUCGGUGGGGGGUGUGCUCGCGGCCUAUCAGCUUGUUGGUGGGGUAAUGGCCUACCAAGGCUUCGACGGGUAGCCGGCCUGAGAGGGUGACCGGCCACACUGGGACUGAGACACGGCCCAGACUCCUACGGGAGGCAGCAGUGGGGAAUAUUGGACAAUGGGCGGAAGCCUGAUCCAGCAACGCCGCGUGAGGGAUGACGGCCUUCGGGUUGUAAACCUCUUUCAGCACCGACGAAGCGCCCGAUGGGUGGUGACGGUAGGUGCAGAAGAAGGACCGGCCAACUACGUGCCAGCAGCCGCGGUAAUACGUAGGGUCCGAGCGUUGUCCGGAAUUAUUGGGCGUAAAGGGCUCGUAGGCGGUUUGUCGCGUCGGGAGUGAAAACACCGGGCUUAACUCGGUGCUUGCUUUCGAUACGGGCAGACUAGAGGUAUGCAGGGGAGAACGGAAUUCCUGGUGUAGCGGUGAAAUGCGCAGAUAUCAGGAGGAACACCGGUGGCGAAGGCGGUUCUCUGGGCCGAUACUGACGCUGAGGAGCGAAAGCGUGGGGAGCGAACAGGAUUAGAUACCCUGGUAGUCCACGCUGUAAACGUUGGGCGCUAGGUGUGGGGGACCUCUCCGGUUCCCUGUGCCGCAGCUAACGCGUUAAGCGCCCCGCCUGGGGAGUACGGCCGCAAGGCUAAAACUCAAAGGAUUGACGG
rnacentral:rRNA from 1 species